rnacentral:rRNA from 1 species
UGGGGAAUAUUGCACAAUGGGCGAAAGCCUGAUGCAGCGACGCCGCGUGAGGGAUGACGGCCUUCGGGUUGUAAACCUCUUUCAGCAGGGACGAAGCGCAAGUGACGGUACCUGCAGAAGAAGCACCGGCUAACUACGUGCCAGCAGCCGCAGUAAUACGUAGGGUGCAAGCGUUGUCCGGAAUUACUGGGCGUAAAGAGUUCGUAGGCGGUUUGUCGCGUCGUUUGUGAAAACCAGCAGCUCAACUGCUGGCUUGCAGGCGAUACGGGCAGACUUGAGUACUGCAGGGGAGACUGGAAUUCCUGGUGUAGCGGUGAAAUGCGCAGAUAUCAGGAGGAACACCGGUGGCGAAGGCGGGUCUCUGGGCAGUAACUGACGCUGAGGAACGAAAGCGUGGGUAGCGAACAGG